rnacentral:misc_RNA from 1 species
AAGUCGUAACAAGGUUUCCGUAGGUGAACCUGCGGAAGGAUCAUUACUGAGUUAGGGUCUCUAUGGCCCGACCUCCAACCCUUAUGUUUAACUAUACCACGUUGCUUCGGCGGGCCCGUCUUCUGUCAUAGGAGGACCGCCGGAGGGAUCUCAACCCCCCUCUGGUCCGCUGCCCGUCGAUAGCCCAACCCUUCCAACUCUUGAAUUAACCAUGUCGUCUGAGUUCAAAUUUUAUAAUUAAAAUAAAACUUUCAACAACGGAUCUCUUGGUUCUG